AAAAAAAAAAAAAAAAAAAAAAUUGUAUUUUACAAUUACAGUGAUACAAGGAUGAAUAGAAUCCAGGCUGGAUUCAUUGUUAUCUAGGCAUUCAUAUUACCGUCAUUGUAUUCAUUCUUGUUUUCAAAGGAAUUAGAACAUUUUCUUGGGCCCCCUAAAAGUAUUGGGGGCCCAGUGGAUGUGUUGGCCUUGGGUAGGUUUCUAGAAGUUGGACCCAGUGGUUUGGCUUCUUGACUACUUGGCAUGUUUUGUUGAAAUCACUCCGCUUUGAUUUUGGACCCAUCAAGAAUGUCCAAAAUUCCCCCAACCUGCAACUCUUAUUCUGGCCAAAGAGGGGGCUCUAGCUCAUAAAGUGUUGACAUCCCAUUUCCCGUUCCAGGUAUUUUUCCCUCUCCACCCUGGUCUUCUCCUGUAACGUGUGGCCGCCUUUUCCAGCACGGCCUCCUGCCUUCCUGGUGCACUUUUUGGAGAACGUGGUGGAAUCAGAGGUUUCUGGCUGACUCGGUGG
ensembl:lncRNA LINC00511 long intergenic non-protein coding RNA 511